GUGGCGGUGGUCUAGUGGUUAUGUCAUUCUGCCUUGUAUCGUUAUCCGUAUAUCCUUAAAACCUAUAACCUCUACCAAAAGGCAGAGAGGUCGGUGGUUCGAAUCCAUCCCGCUCCA
rnacentral:tRNA from 1 species